GGAGGCGAAGGUAGCCCUGCCGCUCCCCGCUGAACUUUUGAAUUUCCAAGGGCACCUAACUCUUCGGGCUGCCCGGUGCCGCUCUUUGACCAGGCGGGGCUUCCCUGGGUGGCAGCGUCGAGAUUAAAGUCCAGGCAAGUCUCUCCGUGCCAAGAGAGGCGGGCCUGAAUGGUGCUGGGCCUGCCUCUCUCCCAGCUCCCUCCCUUUCCCCUCCUGAUUUUCUGAUAUUUUCCUUACUCUUUCAUUUUAUCCAUCUGUUUGCUCAGGUAUCCAACCAAAAGGGAAAAAAGCAUCAGUUUCUGCUAAGCAAACGUAUGGCCUUAAUCCAACUCUUUGUCCAUGAUUACAUCUCCAUAGGAAGCACCACUUGUGUCAAGCCAUGUGUGAAUAUUAUACUCACCAGUUACUUUGGGGAUUCCCUGCAAGCGAGGAACUGGGAGUGCUACUAUAAUCCCAACAUUCGUUCCAACCAGUAGUAGACCAUGGCAUACUAAGAGGCUAGUCACUGAAACACGCUGCUGUCCUGCAAGAUGCAGAGAAUAUUACAUUACUCCCAAACCAGGUUUUUUUUUGCUGUUUACGGUUGCACUGUACAGGCAUUAUUUAAUGAAAUCAUGUUCUCUUACAUAUUUAAAAAUGUUAUUGUGAUUUUAUCAGUUUUCUAAGCAUAUAAUAAAUCAUAUAAGACAAGGGUCAUGUAGCCAAGCAAUAACCUAUUCAUUUAUUUCAGUUUCUAUCUGCAGUUCUCCUGUGUUUUUGAAACACCCAUGAAUUCACUGCUGUCAGACACUGUUGCCACUGCCAGCUAUUCCUUUGCAGUUAUUUUCAAUUUAUCUUGCAAUCCUUUUCCCUUUACAAAUUGUGCAGGCCUGCUGUUGAGGGUCAACCCCCCACUCUUCUACUUGGACUUUUUUAAAAAAAUACUUAGUAUCAACACAAAAUAGUGAAGAGUACAUUGGCACAGUGUAAUGAAUCGAGUAUGCUAAUGUUCAGUAUAUAUUAGCUAACAUAUGAAUCAUAGCAUGAUUCCACCACAUUUUUAAAAUUAUCCCAAGUUGACAUGUAGGUAAGUGCCUUCAAUUUAACUUACUGGUGAAAUUAUUAAUUUAGGGAACUAUACACAAAUAUCUAGCAGAUUAUAUAAUCCAUUUAUAAAUGGUUAACUAGCAAUCCUGUAUUCAUUUACAUGGUGGUACUGCAUUCCACCAGAAUCAUUUCUGAACUGAUACAUAAGAUGAGAUUUAUAUCUAAAGGUUAUGUCUAGAGGUAAUCCAGAAAUUUAGCAGAUUAAUGGAGCAAAAGAUAUCCAUUAAAACAGAAUGGCCAUUAAAUCCAAAUGGCUUUUUGUGCAUGGAUAUUUUAUAUAUUUACCCAUAUUCAAAAUGGCAUUUUAUUCAUGUACAAAAAUAAUACAGGGUACAACCAAAUUUUGUCCAGUGCAUCCAAAAUGUCUACUUUAACUUAUACCUGAAUUUCAGAAUCCUGAUAAUCUAAUAUUAUUUUAAACAUAUGUUAACUCUGUUAACUGAAAGACCACUGAGUUAUCUUUUAGAAAAUUCACAAAAAGGCAGUUUUAAGACAAUGGCUAUCCCAGUUCCAAGGAGGAAUGAAUAAAAAUCUCACAUUGUACAACAAAACUGUAUGGAUAAAAAGACUUGUGCUUUUAAACAAAUCAAAUUAUUUUUAAACUUUCUUCAAAGAUUCUUAAAAAGCAUUGGAGCCACAUAAAAUAAACUAUUUUUUUUUU